rnacentral:rRNA from 1 species
CCGGACGCGCAGGUGAGUAACACGUAUGCAAUCCACCUGUAACAGGGGGAUAACCCGGAGAAAUCCGGACUAAUACCCCAUAAUAUGGGCUCUCCGCAUGGAGGGUCCAUUAAAGAGAGCAAUUUUGGUUACAGACGAGCAUGCGCUCCAUUAGCCAGUUGGCGGGGUAACGGCCCACCAAAGCGACGAUGGAUAGGGGUUCUGAGAGGAAGGUCCCCCACAUUGGAACUGAGACACGGUCCAA